CUGGCUGUCACAAGACAAACUUGCCAAUGAGAUUUAUUUACUUAGAAGUGGAAAUGUUAUUUUAAUAAUCCAGCCAGCACGGGAGGGGAGGUGUUGGAUAUACUUGUAGCUGGCUAGUGAAGGGGUUGCUGUAGCAUCUUGUGGUCCUCUCUCUGCUGACAAGGUUGGCUCUGCAUGGAGGGCAGGAGACUGAGCUGGGGAAGCGAAGGACUGCAAAAGAAAGGGCCAUUUUGUUUUAGUUGGAAAAGUCAAACCUUGAUAAUUCUUUACAUAGUUGUAUUUAUCAGGGUUAUGGGAGACAUGCUGGUGGGUUGAUGACUUCUUGCCACCCGAAGAGCCAAUGACCUUGCCCAGCCCCAGCUGAGCUAGAUCACUGAAUCCACCUGCAGCCAACAAGUCUGUCCGCUGCCUUUUGGGGGUGAGCUGCUUCCUUUGACAGAAGAAAGCAACAGUCUGAAACUUUCACGUGCUGCCAGUUCAGUGUGUGCAGGGCACCUCUUUCUGAAGUGAGGCGUGCUCAUAAUUAAAGAUUAAUUUACUAGCGCUAAAACCUAAGCUUGCCUCAAAGUCUACUGUCAACAGACGUGCUCCCUUUCAGUGACAUUUGCAUUUCUAAUUGGGACUGCUUAUUACCAGUAAGUCUCUGCAGCUGAGAUUUCAUUUUAUAUAGUUGCUGGUUGUCCUCUUAAACCAGUGCUCUGCAACUGAGCUUACCCAGUGUGGUUUGCAUUGUGUGCGCUCCUGUGAGUAAGCACAAUUUCACCCUGCAAGAUGGGCAUGAGUGUGUGCAUGCACGGGAAGACACUGUGUGAGUCAAACAAACAGCUUGUCAGUGAGAGGUGUUGAAAAGGUCAGUCUUUAUAGACAAGUCAGAUGUGUAGAGAAAGAAAUCAGAAACGGAGAAAGCCAACUCUCUGCUUUUGUGCUGUGGUUAAUGUUUUCCCUGUUCUCUCAGAUGGUGCUAUUUCUACUUUGGAAGCCUCGAUCCAAUUUGCCCACAGCCUUGUGAUAAUUCACACCUGACGCUGAAAGCACCAUAAUUGUCUGCAGAGCCUUCACAUGACUGCUGUGAAUAACUCCCAAAUAGAGAUGCCUGGUCCCCUGGGAAGGAAGAAUUUGUGGGUACCAGCACAGCCCAAGGCCUGGCCAAAAACCCGGCACGCAGCUCUGUGCUAGAGAAGUUCAGGGCGUGAGCAAAGAGCUUAUGCAAAUCCUCUCCAUCCAUCAUGAAAGGGAGUCCUUCAUACUUCAGAAACGAUGGGAGAAACAAUCUAUCGAUAUUCUGUAAUGAGCAUAAAUGCCCUUUAUAAAUUGUUUCCCUUUUAUUGACUCUAAAGCAAAUGUAGCCGUGAAUGCUGUACAUUAAUACAUUUUAUACCUUCUAAUGGUUUGAUGGCCUCAUAUAUCCAGUAACGCUGAGAAUAAUCAUUAGAUUGUAAGGAGUGCAAAAUAUGUUUUAUCACUUGAAAAUGGAAUUCCUUCUUGAAAGGUAAAACCAGUGGUAGAUCAUUGAUUUGAAAGGUCAGGGUUAAAAAGCUUAUUAAUGACUGGGUUAAGCUCUAGUAAAAUUCUUUGUUUUACUCAGCUGUAUGAAGCAUUUAGCUAAGUGAGACUCUUCAUUAGGACAUUAGUGCUUUCAUACUAGCUGUGUAAGGCAAAAAUCAGUAAUUUCCAGCUUAUGUUCAGGAAAAAUGCAUUUAAAGUAGCACAUACUCCUCCAAAUAACACCGAGCAACAUGUGGCCAUGGGUAGGAUGGAGAACAGCUGCUGUGGAGUCUGGGGGCCAGUCAGUGUAUGAAAUCUGUGCCUGUCCCUGUCCUAUGCUGGGGACCCUAAGCAGGCUUUGGCCAAGCAGAUAUAUCACAUAGCGCAGCAGACCGCUGGGUAGAAAUACUAGCUUGGGUCCCAGUUGUGUCAGGAUGCCACAGCAUUGAGUUAAUUAGCCCUGACUCCCUGCAGGGCUUUAGAUUAACUAAAGCACUGGGUUCACAGGGUUGCAAUGCUUCCUGCUUCAAGAUGGGAGUUUCUGCUGGGGAGAAUGUGUGUGCUGCUGGCCAGAGCCCUUGCAGACACGAGUCCCAGCACGUGGAGAAAGACUCUAUGUUUUGGGUACACCAAUAGCAGCACCAUGAGAUCCAUGUUAUAGCCUUAUAUCCAUCCCAGCUGUCACAGAAGCAGAUGAAGAGCCCAGAAGUGAGGCAGA